rnacentral:rRNA from 1 species
AUUGAACGCUGGCGGCAUGCCUUACACAUGCAAGUCGAACGGCAGCACGGGAGCAAUCCUGGUGGCGAGUGGCGAACGGGUGAGUAAUGUAUCGGAACGUGCCCAGUCGUGGGGGAUAACGUAGCGAAAGCUACGCUAAUACCGCAUACGAUCUAUGGAUGAAAGCGGGGGAUCGCAAGACCUCGCGCGAUUGGAGCGGCCGAUAUCAGAUUAGGUGGUUGGUGGGGUAAAGGCCCACCAAGCCUGCGAUCUGUAGCUGGUCUGAGAGGACGACCAGCACCACUGGAACUGGGAGACGGUCCAGACUCCUACGGGAGGCAGCAGUGGGGAAUUUUGGACAAUGGGCGCAAGCCUGAUCCAGCAAUGCCGCGUGCAGGAUGAAGGCCUUCGGGUUGUAAACUGCUUUUGUACGGAACGAAACGGCUUUUUCUAAUACAGAGAGCUAAUGACGGUACCGUAAGAAUAAGCACCGGCUAACUACGUGCCAGCAGCCGCCGUAA